rnacentral:rRNA from 1 species
GACGAACGCUGGCGGCGUGCUUAACACAUGCAAGUCGAGCGGUAAGGCCCUUUCGGGGGUACACGAGCGGCGAACGGGUGAGUAACACGUGGGUGACCUGCCCUUAGCUCUGGGAUAAGCCUGGGAAACUGGGCCUAAUACCGGAUAUGACUCCAUGACGCAUGUUGUGGGGUGGAAAGCCUUGUGCGGCUAGGGAUGGGCCCGCGGCCUAUCAGCUUGUUGGUGGGGUGAUGGCCACCAAGGCGACGACGGGUAGCCGGCCUGAGAGGGCGACCGGCCACACUGGGACUGAGACACGGCCCAGACUCCUACGGGAGGCAGCAGUGGGGAAUCUUGCGCAAUGGGCGAAAGCCUGACGCAGCGACGCCGCGUGAGGGAUGACGGCCUCGGUU